rnacentral:lncRNA from 1 species
GUCCACUUAGGAAAAGGGGGUGGUGGGGAGGCUUGGGGAGAUUCCCUCGCAGCUGAGCAGAAAACAGUGCUGGACGUCGCACUGUGUGGGCGCAAGGGCAUCGCCUUAAAGAGUGAACACUGUCCACUGUCUCGGCCGCAGCGGCUGCCAUGGGCCCCGUGUUCAUCACUCACAGUGAGCCGUGAGUGUCUGGGAGCUGCGAUUCCAGCUGGAUCUCUGGGUACCUAAGGCAGUAAACCCCCAACUCCCUGGAAGGGCCCACUGGGCGCUCACUUCGCUCCAGAGCCUCGCCUGGUUUCCGCUUCGGGAUCCGGUCACCCAACCCAGCUCUCCAGUUGCUGCUGUUUCUCGUGAGACUGUCAGAGUGAAGGGGUCCAAAGCUCCGACUUCCAGCCUCAGAAAUCCCAACUCAGGCAGGAUCAGCGAAGCGUCCCUCGCAGUGGCUGGAGGGAGAGCCAGGCGGGGCCCAGGCUGCCACUUAUCAGGGCUGUAAAUGCCACCCUGAGGCCCACGCCUGCCAACACUGCUCCCCACAAGACUAAGUCCUGCAGCCUCAGCCCAGAAGGACCCGCGCCUACCCCCACACGGAGGUCAUGUUCAGCCACACCCCAGUGAACCCUGGCGACCCACCCCACAGUGCCCUGCCCUCCCGUGCUCCUCUCUCCUGACCUCUGUGCACGCUGCUCCCUUGACAGAAGCGUCCCCCCUCCCUUGCUAUGCAGGAUUCAGAGGACAGCGUCUGUCCCCAGCUGCAGCACGGUAACGGGCACACACAUUAAGAUAGUAAGAGAUGUCCGCUGACGGCCACCAGCUUCCCAGCAGGCUCAGAGAAGUUACUGGAGUUGGAGCUGGGUGACAGCGUGCACAGGCCCAAGCAUGGGAUCCACCCAGUUCCUGGGAACUACGUCCCUCUGCGUUUCUGCCCAACAAGCUUCCCUUCAUGAAGCCCAUGAAACUGAACUCAUGCUGUGCGGCUGCAAUGUCUCGCUACUGUUAAGGAGGACAGUGAAGUAUUUUGGGAUACACAUUCGCUUUUAAUAAAAAAGAAAUUUCCUCCUACAA